rnacentral:hammerhead_ribozyme from 1 species
AUCCUGCUGACGGGUCGUAAAUAGGACGAAACGCGCGUCCUGAAU